AGUGUGGUCAUCCUAUUUGUAUAAAUGUAUCACUCUUGUAUCUGAAACCAGAAAUAUGAAAUAUAAAUCUGAGGGCCUAUUGUAGUUAUGCAAAGUGUGGGCCAUUAAUGGUGGUUUGGCAUCUCGAUGGCUCCCAUCGACCAGGACAAUUGACUGUGGAUGGCUCUGGUUUACUUGUAAAUCUUC